AUUGAACGCUGGCGGCAGGCCUAACACAUGCAAGUCGAGCGGAUGACAGGAGCUUGCUCCUGGAUUCAGCGGCGGACGGGUGAGUAAUGCCUAGGAAUCUGCCUGGUAGUGGGGGACAACGUUUCGAAAGGAACGCUAAUACCGCAUACGUCCUACGGGAGAAAGCAGGGGACCUUCGGGCCUUGCGCUAUCAGAUGAGCCUAGGUCGGAUUAGCUAGUUGGUGAGGUAAUGGCUCACCAAGGCGACGAUCCGUAACUGGUCUGAGAGGAUGAUCCGUCACACUGGAACUGAGACACGGUCCAGACUCCGACGGGAGGCAGCAGUGGGGAAUAUUGGACAAUGGGCGAAAGCCUGAUCCAGCCAUGCCGCGUGUGUGAAGAAGGUCUUCGGAUUGUAAAGCACUUUAAGUUGGGAGGAAGGGUUGUAGAUUAAUACUCUACAAUUUUGACGUUACCGACAGAAUAAGCACCGGCUAACUCUGUGCCAGCCGCCGCCGUAACAC
rnacentral:rRNA from 1 species